GUUGCCCUAAUAAUUUUCUCUCUCUCCCUCCACACUCCCUCCCAUUUCCCGUCAAUGUCGCCGUCGAUUAGGUCGACGCUGCCAAUCUUCGUUGCCCAAGUUUACUCCCGUCGGCACCGCCGUCAUUGCCCAUGUUCCCUCCAGCCGUCGUCGUUACCAAAUUUCAUUCCCGCCGCCGUCGUUGCACAAGACCACGCCCCUGCAGUCGCCGGCCAUCGUCUUCUUUUUCCAGUCGCCGCCGUUGCGUUCAGCUAGAUGCCGCCCACUAUCUAUGAUGCCCAGCCCUCUCAAAAAUUGUAGGUAUAAAUUUGCCUAUUUAUGAGUUAAAUAGCAAGCAGCUAUGCAAUUCUAAUGUCUUAACUUCAGUAGCACUCUUUGUCCAUAUAUCCGACAAUUUGUAUGAUAAUGUAAGAAUUGACUAAUUUUUAAUUUAGCUUUCAUAUUUCAGGAGUUGAAAGAAUUUGUAUUAGGUUGUCUUGUCUAAAAUGAGAAUCAUAUGCGAUGAUUAUUUGGUAAAAUCCUUUUAAAUGAAUGGGUAUUUGGUAGAGUUUUAUUUGGUGCCCUUAAUGUUAGACGAUUAUUUUUCUUAACUUAUGUGUCCAUUUCUCAUUUUGCUCGCAGGUGUUUAUAUGAUGAAGAUUCAGUAAUCUUUGUAAGUGUUUCGUAUUUCUUAUAUAUGUUUGAUUAGGGUGUUUUGUAUUGGUAGGCCCAGUUAAAUUAGUUUGGAUCCUAAUUUAACAUCUUUUGGUUAUAUACUCAUCAGGGAUGUCUGCUAGAUACAAUGCCGU
rnacentral:lncRNA from 1 species